UACGUAGGGGGCAAGCGUUGUCCGGAUUUAUUGGGCGUAAAGAGCUCGUAGGCGGUCUGUCACGUCGGACGUGAAAUCCCCGGGCUCAACCUGGGAAUUGCGAUGGAGACUGCAAGGCUAGAAUCUGGCAGAGGGGGGUAGAAUUCCACGUGUAGCAGUGAAAUGCGUAGAGAUGUGGAGGAACACCGAUGGCGCAAGGCAGCCCCCUGGGGUGAACACUGACGCUCAUGCACGAAAGCGUGGGGAGCAACAGG
rnacentral:rRNA from 1 species